UGGCAGUUUAAGGGAGUUUUCACAUUUUAAAAACAUAAUUACUGAAAUGGAUAAUUAUUCAAGUUCUAGAUGGAAUACAACUCUGGAUCUAUCAGAGUGGAGUGCGGAAUACUCAAAGAAGGUGUUGAUCAAUAGUGUUAUAACUGUACUUUUCCUCCUCAUUGGAAUAAUCGGAAAUUUAUUGGUCAUACUUGUAUAUUCUUUAAGAAUGAAAAAGAUCAUGACAGAUAGAUAUUUCAUCCCAAUUUUAGCAGGAUUAGAUUUAUUAUCCAUAUGUAUUGCCGCAUCAUUAAAUUUAUCCAAGAACUUUCGACAAUAUACUUUUCCCGGAAGUACGUACGACAUGUAAAGUUUUUAUCUAUACGGCAUAUGUAUUCUCGUAUUCGUCUCUUAAUAUGCUUUUAAUCAUUGCUGUUCAUCGUUUUCAAAAGGUGUGCAUACCCUUUAAGACGCAAAUGAGCAUAUUUUGGAAAAGACUGGCGACUGUGAUAUGCAUCAUUGGUUCCGCUAUCUUUCAUAUUCCCUUAUUGUUUUUCUAUGGCACAAUCACCGUUAAACACCAUAAUGCAGAAAGUUAUGGAUCGCAAUGCAAUAAACUUCGAGAUUCGAAAACAUCUCACUCGUUGAAAAUACACCAGCCAUUUGACGUCGUCUACAAUACUGGGCUGAUUUUAAGUGUAACCGUAUUAUAUUGUUUGAUCAUCGGAAGAACAAUAUACAGGAAAACUAACUUGACAAAACCACAUCAAAUUGAUGAAAACGUUAAUAAGAUAACCUGUGAGGGAAAAACAACCAAAGGUACUCCUCCUUCAUCGGAAUUGCAGACGGAAGGCAAGACAUCGUUGACAGGUAACGAACAUUCAAAAGAAAUUAAUGAAAGUUCCGCAAGCACAUGUGGCGACAGUACUACAGAGGUUGAAAGACCAAGCUGCAAAGCUGAUGAACAUCCCCAUCGUACUAAAAUUGGCAAAACAAUUCGUGGCCAUUUCCAUAUAUACAGAUUUUCAUACAUGUUUAUGUUAAUAUCUGUUUUGGCACUGCUGUCAUAUAUUCCUACAAUUGUUUUAAUUUUACUUGAAUCAAGAAAUGAUACUUUUUGGAACAACAUGUCACAAUAUAAACUGCUCUUGCUUUUGUUCCUGCGACGCCUGUAUAUGCUUAAUAGCAUAGUAAAUCCAUUUGUUUAUGGGUGUUUUGAUACAGCAUUCAAGAAAGAAUUGAAGAAAAUGUGCUCAAGCUGUUCUUUUAAAAGGCUCAAUUUCUAGACAGAUUGUCCCAGUCCUUGUUCAAACUAAGCACGUUGUCAAUGAUUCGUUUUAAAUGAUUUAAAAAAAAAAUAUUGUCGAGAUAAUGUUUUAGACUGUUUUAAGAAUCAUAAAUUAUUUAAAUGUAAAAUCCUACUUAAAAAGGGCUUGACUUUCUCUUAAAAAUGACCAGUUUUAUCCGAUUUCAUUUUAGAUGUCAUGUAUUGAACUCAAACUACAGCUAAAAUAAAUAACCUUAGGUUGAGGAACAUGUAUCAUCUUCUAAAUUCGUAUUAUACAGUUCUUCGUUAGUAAUAUGGAGACCCUUGGGGCCAGAAAACGGCACUUUUAGCAUAGGCCAUAAUAUUAUGCCCUCAACGAACGAUGAUUAGAAUGAGUCAUUUUACAACAAAAAUAAAGAUUACUGUACAUUUUAACCUACUGUCAAAUAACCAUAUAUAUGAUUAUUAUUCAGGCGUCAAAAUAAUCCGGUCGCACAACGCUAUAAUUUGGAAAGAAAAUGUCCUCCGAACAUUUGUAUAUUCUUUUAUUUUUGAAAAAAAAAACGUUUUACCAUUAAUUUUUUAGCACACUACUAACACUUACGAUUUUCUAAUAUGAUUGAAUGUGCCUUGCAAUUGAUUAUUUUUCUAAACUUGUCAUUUUCUUUUUAUGCCUUGUUUUAUGAUUUUGUUUCUUUAUUUCAUUGUUGCAUCAUACACAUUUUGCAAGUAAUGAAGAUUGGCUUUAGAAUACAAAUUGACUUCAAACUACAUUUUUCAUAAGUUUUCAAAAAUAUACUUCUGUUUUCAAUGACAAAUUUCUAACUAAAAUUGUAUGUGCGAACUAAGGUAUUUGGAACAAAUUAUUUGAAGAAGGGUAAUCAUACCAAGAUAAAACAGAAACAAAUGAUGAAGGUAAAAUAAAUGUUGGUGACCGAAAUGCAACCAACAAUCUAAAGCUGUUUGUCUCGGUUGUAAUUCAUGUAAGAGCCAUAAACUAUAUACUUUUAUUUUUGAACGUUACAGUAAUGUUUUUAGUCUGAAGUAAAACCUAUCUGCACUAAUGACAAUGCCGAAUAGUAAGUUAUUUACUGAAACUGUCAUACUUCUAUUUUCAUCAUUUUUUCUCUUGAAAUUUUAUCAAAAACGACUUACUAUACUUACUAAACGCGUUUUUUCUAUUUUCUUUGGUUUCCUUUGUUAUGACAAAAUACUGUCUCGAGUUGCUUCUCUUUUCCCACUCUUUCCACAAACAGAUAAAAACUUAUUAUAACAUUCAACAUGUGGAUAUUUGAAUCAUUUGUUAUUGUUUUGUCUGAUAUCCUCCAUAGCCAAUUAAAUCAAAAUAAAAGAAAAACAUUAAUUUUCAUUCAGUAUGCAUCCUAGAUAUACCUAUCAUAGAUACCAGGAGCACUUUUCGUCUACAAAAUACCCAUCAGUGACGCUCGAAUAAAAUCUAAUACCGCAAAAUAAAGAAUGAAGUUAUAGAGCAUUGAUGCCCCCGAAAUUCCCAACAGGUUUUGCCAAACACGUCUUAGGUUAUCUAUUCCUAGGGUAGAAAAUUGUAUUUAAAAAAAAACUGCUCAUUUCCGCUUGGAAUGUAAAUACAUGUAACAAAUAGCUGAAAGAAUGUACAGAGCAAACUAUUCCGGAG
rnacentral:lncRNA from 1 species